rnacentral:rRNA from 1 species
UAUCAUGGCUCAGAUUGAACGCUGGCGGCAGGCCUAACACAUGCAAGUCGAACGGUAACAGGAGGCAGCUUGCUGCUUUGCUGACGAGUGGCGGACGGGUGAGUAAUGUCUGGGAAACUGCCUGAUGGAGGGGGAUAACUACUGGAAACGGUAGCUAAUACCGCAUAACGUCGCAAGACCAAAGAGGGGGGACCUUAGGGCCUCUUGCCAUCGGAUGUGCCCAGAUGGGAUUAGCUAGUAGGG